AGCAGCCGCGGUAAUUCCAGCUCCAAUAGCGUAUAUUAAAGUUAUUGCAGUUAAAAAGCUCGUAGUUGAAUUUCGGGAUUAGUAAGUUGGUCGUGCCUCUGGUAUGUACUGGCUUUACUGGUUCCUCCUUCUUGAAGAACUGUAAUGUCAUUAAUUUGGUGUUGCAGGGAAACAGGACUGUUACUUUGAAAAAAUUAGAGUGUUUAAAGCAGGCUAACGCUUGAAUACAUUAGCAUGGAAUAAUGAAAUAGGACGUUUGAUCCUAUUUUGUUGGUUUCUAGGAUUGACGUAAUGAUUAAUAGGGAUAGUUGGAGGCAUUAGUAUUCAAUUGUCAGAGGUGAAAUUCUUGGAUUUUAUUGAAGACUAAACUACUAGCGAAAAGCAUUUGACCAAGGAUUAGUUUUACAUUAAUCAAAGAACGAAAGUUAGGGAAUACGAAGACGAU
rnacentral:rRNA from 1 species